GUGUCAGCCGCCGCGGUAAUACGUAGGGUGCGAGCGUUGUCCGGAAUUAUUGGGCGUAAAGAGCUCGUAGGCGGUUUGUCGCGUCGACUGUGAAAACCUGGGGCUUAACUCUGGGCCUGCAGUCGAUACGGGCAGACUUGAGUUCGGUAGGGGAGACUGGAAUUCCUGGUGUAGCGGUGAAAUGCGCAGAUAUCAGGAGGAACACCGGUGGCGAAGGCGGGUCUCUGGGCCGAUACUGACGCUGAGGAGCGAAAGCGUGGGGAGCGAACAGGAUUAGAUACCCUCGUAGUCC
rnacentral:rRNA from 1 species